CCCGUUGACGCGCCUGGAAACUGUGUUCGUCGAAGAAAUGCUGCUGAAGACAACGUCGGGGGCUGCCGGAUUCCUACCGCAUUCGGUGAGCAUCGCCAGAAACUGCACAAAUAGGAAGAUAUGGUAUGAGACUGUCAUCCUGCUUGUACUUCCAUGCCCACUGGUGACGACACGGGAGAUGUCCGCUUUUAUGCUUGGCGAUGUCUGGGUUGACGUCACUCUGCCUAGGUGGCAGUGCUGGCAGUGUCCGGGAAGGGUGUCAGGCGCGCUCCACGUGUGAAAGCCAAGAUGCUCACGGAUAGGUGGGUGCGAUUGCACCCCGUUUACGCGCCUGGAAACUGUGUUCGUCGAAGAAAUGCUGCUGAAGACAUCGUCGGGGGCUGCAGGAUUCCUACCGCAUUCGCAGUCGAAGGUGGCGUGCUCCCGGCGGCGGUCCUACGAAGGCAAUCCACCCCAUCGAGGAGGCACCACUCCUUGUCAUCUAGUCUUCCUUUCCUUGCGAUGCACCUGUUCAAGCAACUUCGUCAAGAAGCCUGACGUCACCAAGUACCUGGAAACCAGCGGUGACAGGUUGCGUUUUUUUUUUCGGCGCACGAGUCUGGGCCGGAGAAGUCGCAGCAGCUGUGUCCACCGGAAUUUUGUAGUCUGAGUUGAUAGACAUCUGUACAAACGACACUUCCUCUCGGCCACAAUAAACGAGUGCUCUCGUGUUAUCGGAUGUUGGUUUCAGCCGUCUAUAAAGGAGUGACGCAAUAAAAUGCCUGUUGAGAGUAGCGCUUGUCCUGGUCGUCUUUCUUGUGUCUGUGGUUUUGCGCUAAACAAAGUAUUCAU